UAAAACUGAAGUAGUGUCUGCAGAGGCACUGGAUCCACUACUGUCUUCAAUACUGUCAAGAUAUCUCCGUACCGCCCAACAAAACUCUUCAGUCGAUCGUCUGUCACGAGGCUACCCAACUCAACUAACGGAGUCAACGGUUCACGGUGGAAACUGUAGGAACAGGUCUUCCGCUUUGGCUCUGGGACUGUUGCCAUCUCUAUCAGUAGACAAGCUCGGGAAUGU
rnacentral:lncRNA from 1 species